AGCUCCAAUAGCGUAUAUUAAAGUUGUUGCGGUUAAAAAGCUCGUAGUUGGAUUUCUGUCCGAGGCAGCCGGUCCGCACCUGGUGCGUGUAUCAGGUUUGACUAGGGCAUCCUCUUGGGGAACGUUUCUGUGCUUCAUUGCAUGGGACGGAAUUCAAGACUUUUACUUUGAGGAAAUUAGAGUGUUCACGGCAAGCUAUCGCUUUGAAUACAUUAGCAUGGAAUAAUAAUAUAGGGCGUAAGUCUUAUUUUGUUGGUUUCUAGGACAUACGCAAUGAUUAAUAGGGACAAUUGGGGGGCAUUCGUAUUAACGCGUCAGAGGUGGAAUUCUUAGAUUGCGUUACGACGAACUACUGCGAAAGCAUUUGCCAAGGAUGUUUCA
rnacentral:rRNA from 1 species